rnacentral:snRNA from 1 species
GAAUAUGAGGUGAUCAGCUGGGCCAUCUGUCACCCACUGGUUACCAGGGCUGGUCAUUAGACUGAUAUGGCUGCUUCACUGGGUGUUCUCUUCCCUCCUCACAGUUCCAAGUAUACCUUCCUGGCAGCCAAGGGCUCAGGUCAGGAGGACGACUUUUCCCCCAUAGAGAAAGACAGCUUUUUAAUUAAAAUAUAGGAAUAUCUGUGCUCCCCACUAAAACCUCCAAACAAACUCGAAAGAAAUUAGAAGUCUAAGGGUGUUAUGGUUGUGUUGUGAGACCUUUUUGUUUUGGUGCUGGGAUCAAACCCAGGGCCUUAUUAAU